rnacentral:tRNA from 1 species
CGCGGGGCCAGGACGGCGAACUCGUCCUCGCCGAUGCGGGCGGCGUUGGCGUCCUGGGCAAAGGCCGCGUUCAGGCGCGACCCCAGGGCC